ACCUACCUUAUAGUAAGGGAUAGCCCAGAGAAAUUUGGAUUAAUACCUUAUAGUAUCUUAAGUGAGCCUUCACUAAGGAUUAAAGAUUUAUCGCUAUAAGAUGGCUAUGCGUUCUAUUAGCUAGUUGGUAUGGUAACGGCAUACCAAGGCUACGAUAGAUAGGGGUCCUGAGAGGGAGAUCCCCCACACUGGUACUGAGACACGGACCAGACUCCUACGGGAGGCAGCAGUGAGGAAUAUUGGACAAUGGAGGCAACUCUGAUCCAGCCAUGCCGCGUGUAGGAAGACUGCCCUAUGGGUUGUAAACUACUUUUAUAGAGGAAGAAACCAUUCCACGUGUGGAAUGCUGACGGUACUCUACGAAUAAGGAUCGGCUAACUCCGUGCCAGCAGCCGCGGUAAUACGGAGGAUCCAAGCGUUAUCCGGAAUCAUUGGGUUUAAAGGGUCCGUAGGCGGUUUAGUAAGUCAGUGGUGAAAGUUUUCGGCUCAACCGGAAAAUUGCCAUUGAUACUGCAAGACUUGAAUUAUUGUGAAGUGGUUAGAAUGUGUAGUGUAGCGGUGAAAUGCAUAGAUAUUACACAGAAUACCGAUUGCGAAGGCAGAUCACUAACAAUUAAUUGACGCUAAGGGACGAAAGCGUGGGUAGCGAACAGGAUUAGAUACCCUGGUAGUCCACGCCGUAAACGAUGGUUACUAGCUGUUCGGACUUCGGUCUGAGUGGCUAAGCGAAAGUGAUAAGUAACCCACCUGGGGAGUACGUUCGCAAGAAUGAAACUCAAAGGAAUUGACGGGGGCCCGCACAAGCGGUGGAGCAUGUGGUUUAAUUCGAUGAUACGCGAGGAACCUUACCAGGGCUUAAAUGUAGAUUGACAGGUUUAGAGAUAGACUUUUCUUCGGACAAUUUAC
rnacentral:rRNA from 1 species